CUUCGGUUCGCUGGAGUGGCGCUGCACAGUUUUCCCUCUCUGUGCAGCGCCCCUUCAGUGAAGCGGGAG